rnacentral:antisense_RNA from 1 species
CAGAUACAUCAACUUCUGACUUUUCACGGGAACGUGAUCUAUCCCUCUCUUCAACUGGUUCUCUAUUAUCUUCAUUCCUUCCUUCAUUGUUACGUUGUUCAUCAUCAGAUACUCCUCUUUCUCUUGAAGGGGAUUUAGACUCGUCAAUCUUUCUGUCCCCUUCUCUAUUUUCGUCUCCACCAUCAUUGUAAUCUAUAUAUACUUUCUUUGUCGAGUUAUCACCACCAAUCCCAUCAUCGCC